UACGGGGGGAGCAAGCGUUGUUCGGAAUCACUGGGCGUAAAGGGCGCGUAGGCGGCCCUCUUAGUCGCGUGUGAAAGCCCCGGGCUCAACCUGGGAACGGCGCGCGAAACGGGAGGGCUGGAGUUCGGGAGAGGAGAGUGGAAUUCCCAGUGUAGAGGUGAAAUUCGUAGAUAUUCGGAAGAACACCAGUGGCGAAGGCGGCUCACUGGUCCGGUACUGACGCUGAGGUGCGAAAGCGUGGGGAGCAAACAGG
rnacentral:rRNA from 1 species